rnacentral:rRNA from 1 species
GAUGAACGCUGGCGGCGUGCCUAAUACAUGCAAGUCGAGCGAACAGAUGAGGAGCUUGCUCCUCUGACGUUAGCGGCGGACGGGUGAGUAACACGUGGAUAACCUACCUAUAAGACUGGGAUAACUUCGGGAAACCGGAGCUAAUACCGGAUAAUAUAUUGAACCGCAUGGUUCAAUAGUGAAAGACGGUUUUGCUGUCACUUAUAGAUGGAUCCGCGCCGCAUUAGCUAGUUGGUAAGGUAACGGCUUACCAAGGCAACGAUGCGUAGCCGACCUGAGAGGGGGGUCGGCCACACUGGAACUGAGACACGGUCCAGGCUCCUACGGGAGGCAGCAGUAGGGAAUCUUCCGCAGUGGGCGAAAGCCUGACGGAGCAACGCCGCGUGAGUGAUGAAGGUCUUCGGAUCGUAAAACUCUGUUAUUAGGGAAGAACAAAUGUGUAAGUAACUAUGCACGUCUUGACGGUACCUAAUCAGAAAGCCACGGCUAACUACGUG